rnacentral:rRNA from 1 species
CCUACGGGAGGCAGCAGUGGGGAAUAUUGGACAAUGGGCGAAAGCCUGAUCCAGCAAUGCCGCGUGAGUGAUGAAGGCCUUCGGGUCGUAAAGCUCUUUUACCAGGGAUGAUAAUGACAGUACCUGGAGAAUAAGCUCCGGCUAACUCCGUGCCAGCAGCCGCGGUAAUACGGAGGGAGCUAGCGUUGUUCGGAAUUACUGGGCGUAAAGAGUACGUAGGCGGUUAUUCAAGUCAGAGGUGAAAGCCCGGGGCUCAACCCCGGAACUGCCUUUGAAACUAGAUAACUAGAGUCUUGGAGAGGUUAGUGGAAUUCCGAGUGUAGAGGUGAAAUUCGUAGAUAUUCGGAAGAACACCAGUGGCGAAGGCGACUAACUGGACAAGUACUGACGCUGAGGUACGAAAGCGUGGGGAGCAAACAGGAUUAGAUACCCUGGUAGUCCACGCCGUAAACGAUGAUAACUAGUUGUUCGGUCACUUGGUGACUGAGUGACGCAGCUAACGCAUUAAGUUAUCCGCCUGGGGAGUACGGUCGCAAGAUUAAAACUUAAAGAUAGUACGGCGUGUAGACNGCCGAACGAGACCACCGAGGGAAGGUAGGAG